CAGUAGCCGCGGUAAUACGGAGGGUGCAAGCGUUAAUCGGAAUUACUGGGCGUAAAGCGCACGCAGGCGGUCUGACAAGUCAGAUGUGAAAUCCCCGGGCUUAACCUGGGACCUGCAUUUGUGACUGGAUAGCUAGAGUACGGUAGAGGGGGAUGGAAUUCCGCGUGUAGCAGUGAAAUGCGUAGAUAUGCGGAGGAACACCGAUGGCGAAGGCAAUCCCCUGGACCUGUACUGACGCUCAUGCACGAAAGCGUGGGGAGCAGACAGGAUUAGAUACCCCCGUAGUCCCUGUCUCUUAUAC
rnacentral:rRNA from 1 species